rnacentral:lncRNA from 1 species
GGGAAAGUUGAGGAAUUGACAAUGGCGUUAUCGGACCUCGUUUGGGAAGAUAUGGUGGCUGAUUCAACAACAAGAGUUUGGUUCUUUCAGUAGUUACUGCUAGCUUCAUUCUAAACAAGAAGCCAAUAAAGAACGGCCUCCAAAGCCAAAGCUCAGAAGCAAGGAUUUGAUUAAAAGGGGCUUCCAUUCUUGUAUGAUUAUUGUUUAUGGGGGAAUUCAUAUUUGUUGUUUGGCCAUAAAAAUUAAAAGCACAUGCUUUUGUUCAUCAAAACUGAUUUUUGGUUUCUGUUUAUUUUUGGUUCUUUUAGGUCAUGUUGAGCCCAGAUGCUUGGUAUUGGUUUAACUUCUUAAUUAAAAUGCCUGGUUAGGCAACGGCUAGAGCCGAAUCUUAGCGACCCAGAGCUAAAUGCCUUGUUCUUAUUCUUUUGAUAUUGAAAUUGUUGGAUUCGU